rnacentral:rRNA from 1 species
UACGUAGGGUGCGAGCGUUGUCCGGAAUUAUUGGGCGUAAAGAGCUUGUAGGCGGUCUGUCGCGUCUGCUGUGAAAAUCCGGGGCUCAACCCCGGACUUGCAGUGGGUACGGGCAGGCUAGAGUGUGGUAGGGGAGACUGGAAUUCCUGGUGUAGCGGUGAAAUGCGCAGAUAUCAGGAGGAACACCAAUGGCGAAGGCAGCUCGCUGGAACGGUACUGACGCUGAGGCGCGAAAGCGUGGGGAGCAAACAGG